rnacentral:rRNA from 1 species
GACGAACGCUGGCGGCGUGCUUAACACAUGCAAGUCGAACGGAAAGGCCCUGCUUUUGUGGGGUGCUCGAGUGGCGAACGGGUGAGUAACACGUGAGUAACCUGCCCUUGACUUUGGGAUAACUUCAGGAAACUGGGGCUAAUACCGGAUAGGAGCUCCUGCUGCAUGGUGGGGGUUGGAAAGUUUCGGCGGUUGGGGAUGGACUCGCGGCUUAUCAGCUUGUUGGUGGGGUAGUGGCUUACCAAGGCUUUGACGGGUAGCCGGCCUGAGAGGGUGACCGGCCACCUGGGGCCUGAGAUACGGCCCAGACUCCUACGGGAGGCAGCAGUGGGGAAUAUUGCACAAUGGGCGGAAGCCUGAUGCAGCAACGCCGCGUUCGGGAUGACAGCCUGCGGGUUGUAAACCGCUUUCGCCUGUGACGAAGCGUGAGUGACGGUAAUGGGUAAAGAAGCACCGGCUAACUACGUG